GACGAACGCUGGCGGCGUGCUUAACACAUGCAAGUCGAACGGAAAGGCCCUGCUUUUGUGGGGUGCUCGAUUGGCGAACGGGUGAGUAACACGUGAGUAACCUGCCCUUGACUUUGGGAUAACUUCAGGAAACUGGGGCUAAUACCGGAUAUGAGCUCCUGCUGCAUGGUGGGGGUUGGAAAGUUUCGGCGGUUGGGGAUGGACUCGCGGCUUAUCAGCUUGUUGGUGGGGUAGUGGCUUACCAAGGCUUGGACGGGUAGCCGGCCUGAGAGGGUGACCGGCCACACUGGGACUGAGAUACGGCCCAGACUCCUACGGGAGGCAGCAGUGGGGAAGAUUGCACGAGGGGCGGAAGCCUGAUGCAGCAGCGCCGCGUGCGGGAUGACGGCCUUCGGGUUGUAAACCGCUUUCGCCUGUGACGAAGCGUGAGUGACGGUAAUGGGUAAAGAAGCACCGGCUAACUACGUG
rnacentral:rRNA from 1 species